AUGUCCGCUCUCCAGAACCUCCACUCUUACGACCCCUUUGCUGAUGCAAGUAAGGAUGGUAACCUGCUUCCUGCUGGCAGCGAGGAUUAUGUCCAAAUUCAACCGAGAAACGGCAGGAAGACCCUUACCACUGUCCAAGGGAUCACUGAUGAUUAUGAUAAAAAGAAACCAGUGAAGGCGUUUAAGAAGAAAUUUGCCUGCAAUGGUACUGUAAUUGAGCAUCCAGAAUAUGGAGAAGUAAUUCAGCUACAGGGUGACCAGCACAAGAACAUAUGCCAGCUCCUGAUAGAGACUGGGCUGGCUGAGGACAAUCAGCUGAAGGUUCAUGGGUUUUAAGUGCUUGUGGCUCUCUGAAGCUUAAGCGAGGAUUUCCUUGCAAUGAGUAGAAUUUCCCUUCUGUCCCUUGUCACAAGUUUAAAAAUCUCACAGCUUGUAUAAUGUAAUCAUUUGGGGUCCGCUUUUAACUUGGACUAAUGUAACUCCUUCAUGCAAUAAACUGAAAAGAGCC